CAACCACUGCAAUUUCUCUAUU
rnacentral:miRNA from 15 species